AUGAACGCUGGCGGCGUGCCUAAUCCAUGCCAGUCGCGCGAACAGACGAGGAGCUUGCUCCUCUGACGUUAGCGGCGGACGGGUGAGUAACACGUGGAUAACCUACCUAUAAGACUGGGAUAACUUCGGGAAACCGGAGCUAAUACCGGAUAAUAUAUUGAACCGCAUGGUUCAAUAGUGAAAGACGGUUUUGCUGUCACUUAUAGAUGGAUCCGCGCCGCAUUAGCUAGUUGGUAAGGUAACGGCUUACCAAGGCAACGAUGCGUAGCCGACCUGAGAGGGUGAUCGGCCACACUGGAACUGAGACACGGUCCAGACUCCUACGGGAGGCAGCAGUAGGGAAUCGUCCGCAAUGGGCGAAAGCCUGACGGAGCAACGCCGCGUGAGUGAUGAAGGUCUUCGGAUCGUAAAACUCUGUUAUUAGGGAAGAACAAAUGUGUAAGUAACUAUGCACGUCUUGACGGUACCUAAUCAGAAAGCCACGGCUAACUACGUG
rnacentral:rRNA from 1 species